rnacentral:sRNA from 1 species
ACCGCGCAGCUACCGACGUCUAUGCCCUCAUGUUCCUGGCUGAUGUUGUCGACUUCAUCAUCAUCAUUUUUGGCUUCUGGGCCUUUGGGGUGAGCCAGGCCCGGGACCCAAACCCAGUGUACGCAGAGCUCAGCAGCCACCCACAUCCCCCGGGCUUGGCUCCCCCUGACCUGUGCUCUCCUGGCCACAGAAACACUCGGCGGCCACAGACAUCACGUCCUCCCUAUCAGACGACCAGGUACCCGAGGCUUUCCUGGUCAUGCUGCUGAUCCAGUUCAGUACCAUGGUGGUCGACCGCGCCCUCUACCUGCGCAAGACCGUGCUGGGCAAGCUGGCCUUCCAGGUGGUGCUGGUGCUGGCCAUCCACCUAUGGAUGUUCUUCAUCCUGCCCGCCGUCACUGAGAGGAUGUUCAACCAGAAUGUGGUGGCCCAGCUCUGGUACUUCGUGAAGUGCAUCUACUUCGCCCUGUCCGCCUACCAGAUCCGCUGCGGCUACCCCACCCGCAUCCUCGGCAACUUCCUCACCAAGAAGUACAAUCACCUCAACCUCUUCCUCUUCCAGGGGUGAGUGCAGGUCCGCCGGGGUGGGGGUCACGGCCCGGGCAUGAGGGAGCCUACCUGACGGGAACCCUGGCUGUGGGCAGGUUCCGGCUGGUGCCGUUCCUGGUGGAGCUACGGGCAGUGAUGGACUGGGUGUGGACGGACACCACGCUGUCCCUGUCCAGCUGGAUGUGUGUGGAGGACAUCUAUGCUAACAUCUUCAUCAUCAAAUGCAGCCGAGAGACAGAGAAGAGAUACCCGCAGCCCAAAGGGCAGAAGAAGAAGAAGAUCGUCAAGUACGGCAUGGGUGGCCUCAUCAUCCUCUUCCUCAUCGCCAUCAUCUGGUUCCCGCUGCUCUUCAUGUCACUGGUGCGCUCCGUGGUCGGGGUUGUCAACCAGCCCAUCGAUGUCACCGUCACCCUCAAGCUGGGCGGCUAUGAG